GGGUGUAAAAGAGGGUGUGAAAUAAUAGGUGCAAGGACUCUAAGAGUUGAUGCCUAAUAGGAUUCCUAAUGUAAGUUGAAUAACUUAAGUUAUUAAGAAAGCCAAUACAAGUAGGACUUGUAUUAUGAGAUUGAAUAGGAUUCAAUCCUCAUGUUUAUUUAAAGAAACCUCCCCUAAGGUCCCUAGAGCAUUAAAACUAGCAGCCCUCCAUGCCUCUUAGAUUCCCCCAUGCCUUCUCUUCCUCUCUUCCCAUGCCAUAGCACUUUGGGGCAUCCCAAGUUCUUCCUCACACCCAAGGUUGUUGGGCAUUCCACCUUGCUGAUUCCUGGUCCUUGGCAGCAACACAAAUAAGGGUAGAAAGGUAAGAGAAGAAAAG
rnacentral:lncRNA from 1 species